rnacentral:rRNA from 1 species
GACGCUGGCGGCGUGCCUAAUACAUAGCAAGUCGAACGGUCUUUCUAUGGAAGCUUGCUUCCACUGAGAAGAUAGUGGCGAACGGGUGAGUAACACGUGGGUAACCUGCCCAUAAGAGGGGGAUAACAUCCGGAAACGGGUGCUAAUACCGCAUAGUUUUUCUUGAUUGCAUGAUUGAGAAAGGAAAGACGGCCUUUGUGCUGUCGCUUAUGGAUGGACCCGCGGCGUAUUAGUUAGUUGGUGAGGUAACGGCUCACCAAGACGAUGAUACGUAGCCGACCUGAGAGGGUGAUCGGCCACAUUGGGACUGAGACACGGCCCAAACUCCUACGGGAGGCAGCAGUAGGGAAUCUUCCGCAAUGGACGAAAGUCUGACGGAGCAACGCCGCGUGAGUGAAGAAAAGGUUUUCGGAUCGUAAAACUCUGUUGUCAGAGAAGAACAAGUUGGAGAGUAACUGCUCCAGCCUUGACGGUAUCUGACCAGAAAGCCACGGCUAACUACGUGCCAGCCGCAGC